rnacentral:rRNA from 1 species
GAUCCUGCUCAGGAUGAACGCUGGCGGCGUGCUUAACACAUGCAAGUCGAACGAAGCACUUGAAGAUGAUUCUUCGGAUGAAACUUCUUGUGACUUAGUGGCGGACGGGUGAGUAACGCGUGGGUAACCUGCCUCACACAGGGGGAUAACAGUUAGAAAUGACUGCUAAUACCGCAUAACCCGAUAGGAUCGCAUGAUCCAGACGGAAAAAGAUUUAUCGGUGUGAGAUGGACCCG